UUCCUUCAAACGAGUUAUAACUCGUUUGAAGUAAUGGUACUUCAUAUAACAUUGUCCAGAGAAAAAAGUGUUAAUGAUAAAUCCCCUGUGUUGUUUGUACUGGCUACUGUAUACAGGCCACCAGGGCAC